UGUCGUCCAAUGGUCAGGACACUCGGCUGACAACCGGGAAACGAAGGUGAACUAGGGUCCUGAGGACCCGUUGCGAACCCUGCAAAGCUCCA
rnacentral:tRNA from 1 species